AUGUCAAGCAAGGGGUGGAUUUCAUUGCAGACGUGUAAACAGCUUAAAGAGAGGUCCCAGCAAGAAGUCGCACUGUAUUUUUCCCCGUUGCUCCCUGCAGAGUUCAUGUGUUCGGCCUUCUUUCUAAUGAUGGCAAUAAGCAGCUGUUGGCUAUUAUCUGAUGAUGUUUAUAUUUUGGCUUCACCUGGGAGAAGUAAACAAUCUGUUAAGAAAGCAAAGGAUGGAACACGCUGCCUCAUGGAUCUGCCUGUUUGA
rnacentral:lncRNA from 1 species